AUAUCCAUCCCUCAGUCAACUCUGUCAACUCCCCGCACAUGGCUAAUUCACACGUAACACUCUUCCCUUCUUUUAUGCAUUCUUACGCAUCUCAAAUGUUUCCUAACAGACGAUUAUUAAUUGAAUAUUUCAGUAAUUAUCAAUUUGCGACCUCAUUGGUAAAAUUUACUCAGAAUUCAAAAAGAAAUUAGGCAUUCUAUUUUAAAAACUGAAAGUGACCAUCAUAUUUCGAUAAAAACGAAACGAAACAAAAACAGCCCCUCCCCCCCUCUCCUGAAAACUAUGUAACAUUUGUUUAAAAAUUUUUAUCGCACAGUAAAGAAACAUCUUGAGCAUCACUCGUCGUAUUAAGAGACUCAUCCCAUAUAGGAGGGACAAGAAUAUCAAUUAAAGUUGGCAUCAAUAUCAGCGUUAUCAUUGAUGAACUACGAGACGGCAAAGUUAAUUCAGGGAUCUACCGUCAGAUGGCAGUUAAGCUUGGAUCAACAAUUGAAACCAAUGAAAACAUGUAAUAGUCUGAGGACACAUCUAAACGUCAAAAUGUAUGCAAAGGCAAUGACAUAGCUUUGUAAUUACAACGAAGAACAGAUUUUUCAGAGGAGCUCAAUCGCUAGGCGACUUAAACUUUCCAUUUGUAUUAUAAUUUAUAUUAUAUAUGUAUGUAUAUAUCCCUAUAUUGAUUAAAUGGAUUACUGUCGAACUUCAACAUUUUGAUACAAAGUAAGUAAGGGAAAUAUCGCAUGCUUUGGUAAUUAAGAACACUGUCACAUC